rnacentral:rRNA from 1 species
GUCCUUAGUUACCAGCACGUUAUGUGGGCACUCUAAGGAGACUGCCGGUGACAAACCGGAGGGAAGGUGGGGAGUGACGUCAAGUCAUCAUGGCCCUUACGGCCUGGGCUACACACGUGCUACAAUGGUCGGUACAAAGGGUUGCCAAGCCGCGAGGUGGAGCUAAUCCCAUAAAACCGAUCGUAGUCCGGAUCGCAGUCUGCAACUCGACUGCGUGAAGUCGGAAUCGCUAGUAAUCGUGAAUCAGAAUGUCACGGUGAAUACGUUCCCGGGCCUU